rnacentral:rRNA from 1 species
AACGCUGGCGGCGUGCUUAACACAUGCAAGUCGAACGAUGAAGACCGUGCUUGCACGGUUGGAUUAGUGGCGAACGGGUGAGUAUCACGUGAGUAACCUUCCCUUGACUCUGGGAUAAGCCCGGGAAACUGGGUCUAAUACCGGAUACGACCAGUCCUCGCAUGGGGUGCUGGUGGAAAGAUUUAUCGGUCUUGGAUGGACUCGCGGCCUAUCAGCUUGUUGGUGAGGUAAUGGCUCACCAAGGCGAUGACGGGUAGCCGGCCUGAGAGGGUGACCGGCCACACUGGGACUGAGACACGGCCCAGACUCCUACGGGAGGCAGCAGUGGGGAAUAUUGCACAAUGGGCGAAAGCCUGAUGCAGCGACGCCGCGUGCGGGAUGACGGCCUUCGGGUUGUAAACCGCUUUCAGCAGGGAAGAAGCGAAAGUGACGGUACCUGCAGAAGAAGCGCCGGCUAACUACGUGCCAGCAGCCGCGGUAAUACGUAGGGCGCGAGCGUUAUCCGGAAUUAUUGGGCGUAAAGAGCUCGUAGGCGGUUUGUCACGUCUGCUGUGAAAGCCCGAGGCUCAACCUCGGGUGUGCAGUGGGUACGGGCAGACUAGAGUGCAGUAGGGGAGACUGGAAUUCCUGGUGUAGCGGUGAAAUGCGCAGAUAUCAGGAGGAACACCGAUGGCGAAGGCAGGUCUCUGGGCUGUUACUGACGCUGAGGAGCGAAAGCAUGGGGAGCGAACAGGAUUAGAUACCCUGGUAGUCCAUGCCGUAAACGUUGGGCACUAGGUGUGGGGAACAUUCCACGUUUUCCGCGCCGUAGCUAACGCAUUAAGUGCCCCGCCUGGGGAGUACGGCCGCAAGGCUAAAACUCAAAGGAAUUGACGGGGGCCCGCACAAGCGGCGGAGCAUGCGGAUUAAUUCGAUGCAACGCGAAGAACCUUACCAAGGCUUGACAUGGACCGGAUCGCUGCAGAGAUGCAGUUUCCCUUCGGGGUCGGUUCACAGGUGGUGCAUGGUUGUCGUCAGCUCGUGUCGUGAGAUGUUGGGUUAAGUCCCGCAACGAGCGCAACCCCUAUCCUAUGUUGCCAGCACGUUAUGGUGGGGACUCAUGGGAGACUGCCGGGGUCAACUCGGAGGAAGGUGGGGACGACGUCAAAUCAUCAUGCCCCUUAUGUCUUGGGCUUCACGCAUGCUACAAUGGCCGGUACAAUGGGUUGCGAUACUGUGAGGUGGAGCUAAUCCCUAAAAGCCGGUCUCAGUUCGGAUCGAAGUCUGCAACUCGACUUCGUGAAGUUGGAGUCGCUAGUAAUCGCAGAUCAGCAACGCUGCGGUGAAUACGUUCCCGGGCCUUGUACACACCGCCCGUCAAGUCACGAAAGUGGGUAACACCCGAAGCCGGUGGCCUAACCCUUGUGGGGGGAGCCGUCGAAGGUGGGACUCGCGAUUGGGACUAAGUCGUAACAAGGUAGCCGUACCGGAA